rnacentral:tRNA from 1 species
AGAGUUAGGAUAUUACAGACAGAGCCUCUCAAGCAAGAAAAAGCAAGUUUACUUCUG